rnacentral:rRNA from 1 species
CCUAUGGGGGGCAGCAGGCGCGAAAACUUUACAAUGCGGGCAACCGUGAUAAGGAAACUCCGAGUGCCUGUAACGGCAGGCUGUCCAUCAGUUUAAACCACUGGUGAAGAAAGGGCCGGGCAAGACCGGUGCCAGCCGCCGCGGUAAUACCGGCGGCUCGAGUGGUGGCCACUAUUACUGGGCUUAAAGGGUCCGUAGCUUGAUAGUAAAGUCCCUUGAGAAAUCCACCGGCUUAACUGGUGGGCGUUCAGGGGAAACUGGCUUUCUAGGGACCGGGAGAGGUAAGAGGUACUGCCGGGGUAGGAGUGAAAUCCUGUAAUCCCGGUGGGACCACCUAUGGCGAAGGCAUCUUACCAGAACGGCUCCGACAGUGAGGGACGAAAGCUGGGGGAGCAAACCGGAUUAGAUACCCUAGUAGUCC